CUUCACUGCUGUUCUUCCAGGCUCAUUGGUCAGAUCUUUGUGGGUGAAAGACUGAUCUCUUUCUGGUUGGUGGUGAGUUUUUCAGCAUCCCUGAGGAGACACAUCAUUUUCUAGUGCAGUCUCAGACAUGAGCUCUCUGCAGAGGGAUUUCUGAAAUAUUCUAUCCAACCUCCACCCAGGAUACAGGCUACUUUCUAUCCUCUCCUGGCCUGGGGAACUUCUGGACGCACACUGAAGGUGCACUGUUGCAAGCUUGAAAGAUGGCAAGCUCAAAGCAUAUGGACAGAAUAACAGUACAGCUGAUUCAAUGCCCAUGAACCAGUGGUAUAAGUGAACCUAUUGUAUUUACACUGAACAAAAUGAGUUUGUAAAUAAAAAUACACCACAUGAUAUAAAGAAAACA
rnacentral:lncRNA from 1 species